rnacentral:lncRNA from 1 species
GCACCUUCUCACUGUGUCUGCACAUGGUGGAAGAGCCACACAUCUCUACAGAGUCCCUUAUAAGGGCACUACUCUCACUGAUGAGGGCUCUUCCCUCAUGAACUAACCACCUCCCUAAAGCCUCACCUUGCAAUACCAUCACCCGUGGGUUAGGAUUUCAAUGUGUUAAUCUGAGGGGAACAAAAUCACACAGAUCACAGCAGCAACUAAGAAAUUUGUGAGCAAUUCCCCAAUCCUAGAUGAGGUGCUAAUCCUAGCCAAUUGUGCUAAUUCCAUUGUCCUCAAUAGUGACGUUUAAAAUUAGGUAGUAGAUAUCACUCUGACCAAUAAGAAGCAAGGGAAUUUAAGGAGGAAGCAAUCCACAAGUUAUAUAAGAUCAAGAAGCCAUACAGAAUGGUGAGACAUUUCAGAAAUAAGGAAAACAGAAAACAGCAACGGUCCCCAUGCUGGAGGAAUGAAGUAAGGAAGUGACAUUAUCAGACUCCACUAGCCAGGGCCUUCCAGCAGAAAGUGGAACAUGGAGGGCCAGUCCAUUGCAGGGCUGAGAGGCAGCCGCUACUGAAGCUCACUCAAGACACUCCUUGAGGCUGAGGCAAAAGAGGGAAAGCACUAUGGCUUCCCUUUUUCCUAUCCUCUGUUUUUCUGCCUUUGCCUUUAAAGUAAAUCCAGCUGGAAGUUGGCUGCUAGGGGACCGUGGAAGGAAUAGCCUUCAGCAGCCAGUCCUGUGAGAUACAGAGCAAAGCAGGGAAAGGUUAAGGGUUGGAUCUAAGGGCGAACAGGUGGAGGCCUGGAUUAAGAAGAAUGGGGAAGAGAAAGGAAUCAAGGGUGACUCUCCAGUCUUUGACUUGUGAAGGUGAGGAAGUGCCAUUUUUGGAGAUGGAGAAUAUCAAAGAAGUAGCAGUUUUGGGAACUAAACUCAGAAGCUUUUUGUAUUCAUGAAGUUUUAGAUGUCUGUUAAAUAUCUGAGCAAAGCUAUCAAGUGGGCUUCUCACACCAGAAGAUUCCCUUUGAUGUGGGAGGAAGGAAAGAGGAAGGGUGUGGGGAAGGAAAAGAGAAAAAGAGGGAAACAGGAGAAAGAGGGAGAGGAGAGGGAAGAGAAGGAGAGAGCCCCAGUGUAUGUGUCGUAGGGGCAGAACAACCUGUGUCCUGGUUUCUGGCAGUGCUACAGUGAAGGUGGCAAGUCCCUAUGGAGGAAAUGGGUACAUAUUUAGCUUAACAAAAUAUUUUUAAUUCCUAGAAUGGAGGCAUGGAAUUAGAAAAGACCUGAAAGAAUCUUACUGUAAAGACUGGUGAACACUCAGUAAUCACUUGAAUGGCAAAAUGACCAAGCACUAAAUGGGCCUCUCUUCCACCUACAGUGUAGAUAUGAUAACAUUUUGCAUACCUCGGGUCAUGGAGUUUGGUGGGAAGAGACAUAGAAGGGACUCAGGUUAAAUUGUCUGACACCCCAGCUGUGUGGAAAUCGAAAGACAAAAAUUUAGUUGCAUCAGAAUUCAUCAUCUUUUGCUACAGUAAAAUUAUGAGACAUAAAAUCCUCCACAAUGCCAUUUGUAAAGAUUCUCUUAUUAAGCUCAAUUUAAUCCACUGAUGAAUCUUAACAAAAUGGUCCAGAGGGCCUUAGGCCCUGUGAAUGUGAUGCCCUUAAAAUCUUCCCACAGUGUGAGAUCCAAACAAAACAAAACAAAACAAAAAAACACGAAAAAAUCAAAGCCUGUUUCUUCUCCAGUCUAAGUCAAUGGGUCAACCAUAAACACCAAAGACACAUAUCUACUCUUACAAAGAGUGUAACCUGGGCUGGGGUUGUGGCUCAGCGGUAGAGCGCUCACUUUACAUGUGUGAGACCCAGGUUCAAUCCUCAGCACCACAUUAAAAAAAUAAAUAAAUAAAAAUAAAAAAAGAGUGUAACCUAGCUCUAGAUCUUAAUGAAGAUACACUUUCUCCACAUAUAACAGAACUUGUACAGAUUUUUACAAAAGGAGCAGCCUCUUACAGCAUAAGCAAAGGAUUUAUGGUAUGAACUUGCUGGUCAUUUUGUGUAUGCUCUGGUUCUAGGCUCAGGGACAAAUGUGAAAAAAGAAGUGAAUGCCCAUUCUGAUUCCAUGUACUCAUCAAAGAUUUUGCCAAUAACUUUGUUUGUUUGUUUGUUUUAAUUAGUUACACAUGACAGUACAAUGAUCUUGACUGCCAAUAACUUUUUUGAAGUUAUUGGUUUUUAAAAAAAUUUAUUUAUUUACUUAUUCUAAUUAGGUAUAUAUGAAGUUACUGGUUUUGAUCACUUUAAACCAAAUAACGCUUCUAGACAGGACAUAGCCACACUCUGUCAAGUUUUCACAAAAGAAUACACAUUUAUGAGCUUUAUACAUUCAACAUUGCAGGGGUAGGUUCAGGAAAGAAUUCUGUUUCUCCAGUUACAUGGAUGUAUGUACAACUUUACUGGCCCUCAAAAGUUUCAAUGGUGAAAUACUGACUCUGUGUUCUCUAACAUUUUACUUUUUGAUACAAAAAUUGUUUUCAGCAAAAUGGUAGCUUAGGUAACUCAUACUCAUAUAAUUCAGUAGGAUCUAAUGUGAUUUUUUAUUAAAUAACAAAGGAAACUGACCAUGCAUUUCAUUGUUUUCACUAUAAAAGAGAGAAUAUUUAAAAGCACAUAAUCUCAUCUCCUGAUUUCAGCAGGGAACUCCAGCAGCUGUUAUGUAUGUACCUGUGUUGUAACAUUAAAAUUCUGGUGAGUCAGCACAGUGUAGGGGCACGUUUUUAUACGCUGAACUGAUUAGAAGCUCUCACACCUCACCAAGUACUCUGGUACAUGCCUAUAAUCUUAGAGGCUUGGGACGCUGAGGCAGGAGGAUUGUGAGUUAAAAGCCAGUUCAGCAACUUAAUGAGGCCCUAAGUAACUUACUGAGACCCUGUCUCUACAUAAAAUAUUAAAAAAAGGUUGGGGGAUGUGGCUCAGUGGAUUCAAUCCCCAGUAUAAACAAAACAAAACAAAAAACAACAACAACAACAACAAACCCUCGCACCUUGCUGUCUAAAACUUUGAGCAUAGGAAUAAAUGGCCAUAAAGAUAAAAUAAACCAUAAGAGUCAUUAGGAUUGUGAUAAUACUUUAUUCCCAAAUACUCUGGCUAUGUGUGCAAAGAGCAUAAUCGACUAUUUAAUUUGAAGUUUUAAUUAGCUGAGUUAAGGGAAACUGUUGAUUCUGAACUGGCUACAACAGAAUGAGUCAAUCCUUAUGUUCUCUGUCAUUGGAACAUGAGCAUAUAAACAGACUUGUAUGCAAGGAGAAAACUCACAGAUGACUGAUAAAUGAAUUCUGGCAGUGGCUUGUGAUCACAAUUGGCAAUAACUGGGGAAAAUAUUGACAGCAGUAAAUUUCGAACCCUUGGAAAGAGCAACUCUGAGCCUAUGUCAUAAUCCAAUUAUAGUUGAGCAGCCCAGAAAGACUCCUGGGCCAGAGAGAUUGUAAAUUGGGCCUUUGUGGAUGGGAAAAGAAUGAGAAAUGGAGGAAAUUUUUUUAUUUUUAUUUUUAGGAAUGUGUCCAAAGUAAAUGACUGUAGAUGUGUGUGGUUUUCUCAUUCUUGCUGUUUAUUUCUGGUUCUGAGCAGAGAUUGUAUGUGUGUUGACGUUGAUGCAUAUUCAUGCACCAAGGAAGGAAACUGUUCUGUUAACUGCUGCUAUAAAGCUCAUAUAUCACAAUGCUACAUGAGCACUGCCAUCUUUCUUGGUUUGCUCUAAUCAGGAUGUGUCACACAGUACAAAAGGGCUUUCUCAGAAGGCUGUGGGUGACAGGAAGACAAACAGCAGUGGCAGCUUACAGAGCUUGAAUUCCUAAUUCAUCAGGCCCUGCACAGAGCUCCUCCUACAAUUGUUCUGGAGACAAGUGGGAGAUGACAGGAAGCCCAAAAUAGCAAAGCUGCUUACCUAACUAUUUGUGUCAAACUCCUGCUGGAGAGCCACUGUUUUGUUUCAGUCGAACACUUGUGUAGAUCCAGUUAUCAGAGGUACAAGGUAUCGUGGUGGAAGUACUGCCUCUCUCCCUUAGGAUUGAGUUAUCAUUUGAGUCUAGCAAUUUAUACCUUUAUUAACUAAGAGACAAAAACUUUCUCCUUUUAUUCAGCAAACAUAUUUGAGCAUUGGCAAUAUGCCAAACUCUAUAUAAGUCAUAGGAAAUAUAAUGACAUAUAAGAUAUUGCAGGUGUUGCUUCCCAUAUAGUAGAAAAGAGACAUAUAUACAGACAAAUUAUAACACAAUGGAGAUAAUGUUAUAAAGGAAAGCAAAGUAUUUUUUCUGGUCUCAUAAAGACUGAUGAACUUCUCCUGGAGCCACUAGAAAAGCCUUUAUGGAAGAGAUGACAUUGGAAGUGGCUUUGAAGAUGUUUUCUAAAUAGAAAAGUCAAGAGAAAUUAGAAGAGCUACAUAUAUUUAUGGCAUUGAUUGUGGUGGUGGUUUUAUGGUAUAUACUUAUCUCCAAACUCAUCAAGUUGUAUACAUUAAACACAUAAGUCUUUCUACAUGCCCAUCAGACCUCAAAUAUGUUAAUCUAAAAAUAAAAAGUUCAAAGCAAGGUAUUCCAACCAUGUCCAAACCACAUAGACCUGAAUAUACAUAAGGUAGACUAGGAAGAGAAAGGCAUUUUGUGAUUAGUCUAUAGGGGUGAAAAGUGGGGGGGGGGGGGAAGCAGUGCUGGAGUGUAGUAAAACAAAAGAAGUUUCCAGAAAAAACCUGGGACUGGAUUUCAAGUUGUUUUGUAUGUCAGGCUAUGAUGUGGGGUUACUUUCCCCUGUGGAUAGCAGGAAGCCAAUAUAUACUAUAAAGAUGAAAGAAACAUGAUUAGACUUGUUUUAGGGUGUAAAAUCAGACUAUAAUGAAGGGAUUAAUUGAACAGGAAAAUACUGAUGGAAUGGAGAUCACAAGGAAAGAAAUUUACCAAUUAGUGAUAAGAAUAGAGACACCACAAAACUUUAAAAAUAGCUAGUACAGGUAGUUGCAGAACAGUGUACUUAUAAUGAGAAAUAUAUUUGGGAAACACUGAGAAUUCAACUAGACGUAGUGAACACAAAUAAAUGGACAUCCUCAUUACCCACUUCUCUGAUGCACAUUUUUGUUCUUAUAUUCCUUGCAUCUCUCAAAUCUAUAUUCUAAAUUAAAUUUCAAAGCUACUGAGCUACAGUUUCCUGCUUAUAUUUUAUAAGUCAUAGGAUUAUAAUUUUAUAUUUUAUAUUAUAAGUUCUUUAACUUAUAAGAAACAAAAACCUGUAGGAAAGGACAAAGCUGUACCCUUUCUGCACUGCCAAAACAUGUGACAACAUUCUCUUUAUCAAGUUCAAGCUGAGUAAAUGAUAGAGAACUAUUCAAAGAAGCUGCAUUAUGAGAGAAUUAUGGUUCAUCCCAAGGUUGUGAGGCUGAUUCAACAUAUGCAAAUCAAUAAAUGUAGCUCAUCAGAUCAACAGAAUUAAGGACAAAAACCACAGGAUCAUCUCAAUAGAUGCAGACAAAAAAAGAAACUUUUGAUGAAAUCCAGCACCCAUUCAUUUUAAAAACACUAAAAAAAUCUAGGGAUAGAAAGGACUUACCUUAAUAUUGUAAAGGCAAUGUAAAACAAAUCCAAAGGCCAACAUUAUGCUAAAUUGAGAGAAACUGAUAGCAUUUCCUCUAAAACCAGGAGCAAGACAAGUAUGUCUACUCUCACCACUCCUAUUUAAUAUGGUUCUUGAAAAUCCACCCAGAGCAAUCAGGUUAGAGAAGGAAAUUAAAGAGAUACAAAUAGGUAAAGAAGUUAAUUUAUCUCUGUUUGCUGGUGACAUGAUCCUAUACUUAGAAAAUAUUAAAUUUUUUUUUUCACCAGAAGAAUUCUAGAGCUGAUAACAAAUUCAACUAAGUAGCAGGAUACAAGGUCAACAUAAAAAAAAUAAAUAGCUUUCCUAUAUUCCAAUUAUAAAUCUGCUGAGAAAGAAAUCAGGAAAACAAUUUCAUUCAUGAUAACCUUAAAAACAAACAAACAAACAAAAACUUGGUAAUAAAUCUAACUAAAAAGGUGAAAGACCUCUACAAUGAAAACUAUAGAACACUGAAGAAAGAAAUCGAAGAAUAUCUUAAAAGCUGGAAAUACCUCCCGUGUUCUUGGAUAGGCAGAAUUAAUAUUGUCAAAAUGACCAAACUAUCAAAAGCAAUUCACAAAUUCAAUGUGAUCCCCAUCAAAAUAUCAAUGCCAGUCUUCACAGAGUAGAAAAAAACAGUUCUAGAAUUUAUUUGGAAGAAAAAAGAGACCCAGAAUAACCAAAACAAUAGUGAGCAACGACAGUGAUGCUGGAGAAAUCAUAAAACCUGAUCUCGAAUUAUACUACAGAUUUAUAGGGGGAAAAUCUCAGUAGAAUUGUUUUGUUUUGUUUCACAAAAGGAACCGAUUGGCUAUGUUUAUCUAACUUUUGCAGAAGUUUUCUCACUUUCUUAUCAGGGAAUCUUAAGGGGAGUUUGAGUCAAGGACAGAUUGUGAAAUUGUAGACAAGAUGGUCAGCAAUCCUUGUGGUCAGAAGCACUCCACUUUGAGGUAUUCUCCUUUUCCUGUUACAUCCAUCUGGUAAUUUAUAUCUGUACUUCUUCAUGAGCAUAAACAUUGGCCAACAUAGGUUACAAUGACCUGGAAAAUUCAGUGGCUUCAUACAGCAAAGGUUUGUUCCUUGUUCAUGCUUCACAUUUACUUUGUGCUAGAAGGGUCAAGGUGAGGGGACUCAACUCAUUUAAGUCAAUUACUCAGGUUUAUGGGAAAGCCAUUAUCUUACGCUCAUUAGCUGUCAUACAAGGGGAAAGAGAAAGAUCUGAGGGUGGAGGUGUCCACUUUGAAAAUCAAGUGUUUCAAUCCAAAAGUGACACCUCAUUUUGCUGGCAACUCAUUGGGCAGAACUGGUCACAUGAUUUUUUGUUCCAAACAAAAAAAAGGGCCAUGGAAGUGGAAGCCUUCAAUAUGUUCAGAAUGGGGAAGAAAUGGGAGUAUUUGGCAAAUAGCACUAAUGAAUACACUGAGACUAAGAUAGGAUUAUCUUGGAAAAAUGAACUUAAGUUUGGCCGAUUAUGACAAUCUUUCUUUCAACUCUUUUGCAUGAUUCUGUAUGUUUCUUACAUUGAUUAAAUAACCAGCCUUUUGAAGACUUUGGAUGUAGGACAGGGAGAAUUGAGGUCCAUUUGAGGGAAGCAUGCCAGUAUUUUGUCCAUACUCCCCCAAUGUAACUUUAAUGGUGACAUAUUAUAGAGGAUUAACAACAUCUCCCCAGAAACAACUCUGAAGACAAAAAGCCUAGAUAUUAAACACUAUCUGCUGUGCAUUCACUGCGUAGGAUUCAUUUAACAUUUUAAAAAUCAUAUACAUCACUGCUUACUCUCAACAUUUUCAUUGUCACAAACACCUACUUAACAGUAAUUUUAGAGCUUUUCAUAUUCCUAAAUAUUAAACCUAUAAUCCUAACACUGUUCUUAAUAGAUCCUCAUAGAACUACCCAAUAGCCACAGUAAAACAAACAGAGCACCUGCUGGUAUCAGAAAUAGGAGAGAAUGAGCAGUACCAUCCAGGCGACAUGGUAUUUCGUCAGGAAGAAUGUUUUUGUAAUGUGUUUUAACAACUACUGGAAAGUGGGACAGUGCUGAGGUUGGAAAGCUGAUGUUUGCAGUCAGUCUGUAAAGACAGCUAAAUUGGUUUAUAUCUCCUCAUUUUUCUCUCAUUUCAGGAUAGAAACAGAGUAUUUGCUACUGGAAUGACUAUUAGUUGUAGUCAUGUGACAGAUUUGUCACAUGCUGCCGAAACAGAAAUCUGUAUAGCGGAUUGAUUGCUGUAAGGACACAGUGAUUCACAAUAAGCACCACAGACAAAUUUCCCAAGUUCUCAGUUUAGAAAUAAUGAGGAGGAUGGGCCAACUGAUCUUGUCAGCUCGUAUAAAACUCAUUGCGUCACUUCACCCAGAUGCUCUUAAAUCCUUUCCAUGGUUUCUGUGUAUCCAUCUCCCAGAAUCUGCAUGCUUGACUCCUACAGGCUGUUGCCUUCAGUCUUCAGAGAACUACCAAUGGGCUCUUGGAAUCCCUUUGCCAAGCUGCCCUAAGAGCAGAAAGUGCCCCACAGCCUACAGCCAAGGACUGCCUAGAGCAGGAAUAGUAAAGCUUAACUUUUGCCUCAACAUGACCCAAUUUUCUCUGGACACUGAAAGGGAAGAAGUGAGAAGCAAACACCAGUCACAUUAGGCAGAGGUAGCAUAGACAGGAAUUAUCUCAGAUCAGAGGAAAAUAUCUAGCAAAAUGCACAACUUCACCUGCUUCUCCCAAUAAAAUAGUAUUUGUAUGACUCCUUAAAAAUAAAAUGCUGCUGGUGCCUUGUAUUUUUAAGAAACAAGAGUCAGACAGAUUUUUAAGUUCCUAGAGAAAUCAGGCAACAAGUUGAAGAUGUUCAGUUACUAGUAUAUUUAGAAGGUGAACUGAUCAAAGAAAAAAAAAUAAAGAAAAGGACACUCAGAUUCUGGUCAGAACUAGCAGAACAAUCCACGUUAACACAUACACACACAGAAAAUGUGUGCGUGCACACACAUGCUCUGAUUGAGCAUGAGUAUUCAGGGUAUCAAAAGGCAAAAAGGCAAAAUUUUCUGGAAUUUACAAAGACUUGCUAGUCAAGCUGACAACGCUAUGAGAUGGACUUUGUUCUGAAACUAGGUUAUUCGUCUUUGCUUGGCUACCGUAGCAACAAGAUUGGCAGGAAAAGUGGGAAGGCCUGUCCCACAAGUAAGGGUUCAACUCCUGAGAUGACACCCCAACAAAAUGUCUCACAAUCUCUCACCUUUAAGUUAAAGAAGAUUUAAGUGAUAGCUGAAUAUCUGGAGGUAUGAGAGACACUCUGCAGAGUGAGGAAUGUUAUAGGUGUUCAGUAUUUGUUGACAUCUCAAUCUACAAUUGUGUGCCACAGAGCAUUAUGUAGGAACUGAGAGAAUGUACUACUUGUAAAUUGAUUCCUUUAAACAUGUUUAUCUAAAUAAAUUACUUAUAUUUACAGAUUUCAUUUAUCAUUUUUUAAGAAGUAUUGCAGAACCUGGGUAUGGUGAGGACCAACUUGUUAGUGAAAUUUGCAUGACUUAUAACAAAUUAAUUCUUGUUAAAAAUAAUCUCAUACUUGUAACGGGGCUGAGUAAAGAUAUCAACGUAUGCAGUUUUUGGACACCAGCAUCCUUUUCUAACUUGGAAGUACAUAUAGG